rnacentral:lncRNA from 1 species
AUUCUAUGAUGUCAUGGUUCCUUCUCUAUGCGUGUUCUCUUGAGAACCAAGCAGGAUCAAUAGUUUUCAGAAGAACAGAAGUACAGAAAAAAAUGUGUUGUACUGCCCUAGCUCUACCCCUCCCAGGUUAUGACUCCUUCUGUUACUUUUGACUGGGUCCUACCUUCCGUUUUUGGUCCAGUAACAGGGCUGCCAUUUGGGAAUGGAUUCUCAGGCUCUAGUUGCUCCCCAGAAAAGCCUCAGCAAGUCAUUUUACCCUUUGCCUCUCACUCUACAUGGGUCUUUUCGAGAAUAUCUUAAUGAAAUAUUUCCUCAUCCCUGCGGACAAAGAGAUUUUUAUUGUGGGGGUGUCCCAUUAUUUUCCAUCUCAGGGACUCCUCCUUCAUUGUUUCCUUUUCUCUUCUGCUUCUCUUUCAUGGCUGCGCGUUUCUUCUUCCAGUGUUGCGGGCUAGGUCAGCAGCUGCAGGAGAACUUGAUUAGUGCCUUGCCUCAGUGCAGAUGCAUUUCCCUGACAGCAUCGAUCCUGGGUGCUUUCGCUUUGCAGGCAGCUCCACAGAGGAGGAGCUUGUACUGCAAAGGAGGUGGACUGUUGUCUGUUCAAGUACUUUUGCAUCCCAAAAGGCUCCAGAUGUGA